rnacentral:lncRNA from 1 species
UGGGCAUUUCCUGAAAGUAGAUCAGUUCUGACACAAUGAUGCCCAACGGGGGAAUGGUGCAUGGCUAAGUAACCCCAGGAGUGACCCUCCUUCACACCGUUACAGCACACACACAGAUAAUUUUUUUUUUUCCCAGUAAGUCGUUUGUGUUCUGUGGGUUUAGGUCUUCCAGCUAUCUCCCAAAAUUUAAGUUUUGAAACAAGAUUGUACUGGAAUGUUGGUAAUCGGAGCUCUUAUUUCUAGGGACACACUGGUCACAAAGGAGAACCUGGCGAAAUAGGAAAAGAAGGAGAGAAGGGCAACCCUGGCCCUCCUGGUCCUCCAGGCGUUCCCGGCAGCGUUGGCCUGCAGGGCCCAAGAGGACUAAGAGGCCUCCCUGGUCCAAUGGGUCCAGCUGGCGACAGAGGUGACAUUGGCUUCAGAGGGCCACCUGGAAUCCCAGGACCUCCAGGGAAAGCUGUAUGUAUCUGCUUCUCAGCAUCUCCGUGGCCCUGCCUGCCACAGACAAAGCCUAAAGUUUAUUCCUCCUGCACUAAACUCUACUGCCAGUGAGGAGGAGGAGCGUGCUGACUGUCUCCAUCAAAUUAUUCCCUUUGCCUUCUUCCCUCCACCUAGAGCGAUGUUGUUUCACCUGACCCAGCUCUUACGCUGUCCCUCCCUGGGUUGUGCCCCGUGCCAGAGUAAGGUCACCCCACAUUUCCAUUGCUCUUCCCUGAACAUCAGCAGCUGCAGACAAGCGCUUGAGGGGCAUCUGUGGUGUUCUUGGGAAGGAGAGUUUGGAGGAAGGAUCAGUAAGCGCUAUCCUGGGCUUACGCCCUUUGAGCCUGGUCUAUUCCCAAGUGCCCGCAGCUUGCAAGGACUUUAGCUACAAGCAGAAGUAGUUGUGUCUUAAAGAUGCAGAGCUCUGGGGUGAAGUGUGGAACACUGAACACGCACGCUUACCUGUGGGCAGAGUCCUGUACCCUCCUUACUGUGCCCAAAAUGAGACCUGAGCUGCAUCUGCAGCCCCGUGGCUUCUCUGAGAGCAUUUCCCACCCUUCUUGUGGGUAAUAUGACAUCUGCUCGGUAGCAGGCACCUACACCAGCCAACCACUGCUGUCUGCAUUGUCCCCAAGGCAGCACCACCCUCUGGGGACCCUUCCCCAGUCUUUGUAAUUAUAGAAGAAAUUCAUCUGGACUAAAAUAAAAUGAGGUGCUCUCUGCCCA